GCCCUGGUGGUGGAAUUGGUAGACACAAGGGAUUUAAAAUCCCUCGGCGUUCGCGCUGUGCCGGUUCAAGUCCGGCCCAGGGCACCA
rnacentral:tRNA from 3 species